UAGAAGAACGCCAUUCAAAGAAAGCCACAAGAAGUCCCGUUUGCAAUUUGACAGAAGCCAUGUUGGGGACACAGCAAACAUGUGGAAGAAGGUGCUUUGGUCAGAUGAGACCAAAAUUCAACAUUUUGGCCAAAAUGCAAAACGCUAUGUGUGGCAGAAAACUAACACCGCACAUCACUCUGAAGACACCAUCCCACUACCCACACCAUACCACUGUCAAAUAUGGUGGUGGCAGCGUCAUGCCCUGGGAAGGCUUCUUUUCAGCAGGGACAAGAAAGAUGGUCAGAGUUGAUGGGAAGAUGGAUGAAGCCAAAUACAGGGCAGUCUUGG